CCCCGAAAUUCAUAACCUUUCGCUUUCGAAGUAUUGAAAUUUACACAGUUAAAGUAUCAUUCAUUUCCCUCCUUUGUGUUUGUGACAUAUUUCUACCCUCUACUUUACGCGUAAUGUGCCUUUACAUGUAGUGAUUUUAAAAUAUGGAAGAGUCCAGUGAUUACGAAAGCGAUAAGCUUAGGAAGGCCUCUAUUAGUAGUGACCAAAUAGAGGACAGUGGUUACGGAUCUAACUUAUCAGAGCUAAGCGAGUCAUUUCCUCACCAAACUCCUGUCAAUUGUACACCUCAGUUUCAUCCUAACAGUGCCGGCUUUGUGAGCUUUAGUGAUGUGAAAGAUCGUCAAGAAUUCUUACAUCCAUCCAACAGUUGUAGAUCUGACUUUCUAACACCCUUUCAGAGUGGUCCAUGUUCUAGUGCUUCCUUUGCAAACUUAGGAAAACGUGGAAAUAUCAGUGAUGAAUUUCAAACUUUUCCUCCCUCAGCCAAGAGGAUUCGUAAUGAUUCUGAAGGGGAAGCAAACUCUACCUCAAAAGCAAGUUUUAAAGAUACCACUGGAUUAGCCGAACCAAAGUUCCAUGUCUCUACACCUUAUUGUGAAUUCAUAGACAAACUCAGAUAUAGUCCAAGUCCUAGUUCCAAUCAUAGCUUAUUUGGAGUAUCCCAUGUAGACUUCUUGUAUUUUUUAGGAGUUAAGAAUAUUCAUAAUCCAGUCCUGCAACGAAUAUAUUCUUACCUUUCUGAUCAUGAUCUCUACAAUGUCGCACGAGUCUCAAAAACAUGGCAUACUCUGGUCAAGAGCAACAACUCAACAAGGGAAAGAAUCAAAAAUUUUCUAAGGAAACCAUUGAAAGAAAUAUCGCUCCUGGAGCUUCGCUUGCAAAAGUAUGUGAUAAUGAUGAGCUACCUGCAUCUCUCAUAGGGCGUGUAAAGCUGAUGGAAAUUCAGAAUAGGACUGCUAAUCAUCAAAACGUUCAGAACCAAGGCAAAAGUGCAUCGGCUGAUAAAAGUCCUCCAGUGAGCCCCUCUAAACUCCGUUUUCACCUUUUUCAGAAGGUAAGUUGCAUUAACUGCUAGCCAUAUAAAAAAUUUUCCUCUGAAACAUUUCUGUGCUACAAGUAUUUGAGAAGAGCAUAUUACUUAAAUGCUUUCAGACAAAACCUUUUCAAAUACAAAAUCCAUUUCACCAUAUCUUUAGCACAAAACAACAACACCUAGACCAAAAAAAUAAACAAAUUUGAGAUAGAGCUUUUCAGGAAAACAAGCUCCAAUAUGUUCGGACUUAUUUUCUAAAAAUCAACAUUUUUCAAAUGUCCACCCUUUCGUUUUUGGAAGUUUUAUUUUUAAAUAUGAUUUACAGUAUAGUACGUAGCCAGUAGGCCUAAUGUUGUUGUCAAAUACUGUUGACUUUGAGCAAAAUUAGUCUUAUUUCAGUUUCUUCUUGAUCUGCAUCUGUUCUUGAAAAAUUUCC
rnacentral:lncRNA from 1 species